GUUACCAACUGAACAACUCUUCGUCUACCUUAUUGUUGUAGAUAAGUAUAGUUCUGAGUUUGGGUAUCUUCUGCUUACCCAAGCAUGGUUUCAUUCCUCUACACAAGCAACAAGGGAUAACCGUCUUCAGAAGGAUGCUGUUCGGCUCCAUGCACCUUAUGUCGUAUGACUGGGCUAGAAGUAACUAGGAGGCUGGCACUAAUGUGCUCAUGACCUCAGAUGCUAGACUUGAAGGCAUCUAUCAUCCCAGCUUUCAGAAUGGAGAAACUCGUGAAUUUCAUAUAUGAUCUCAAUGAAAUAUUUAGGACUUGCGGCAGUGGAUUUAUCUGAUAUUUAUAUUGUACUAAAGAAACAACAUAUGCGCUCCUGAAAUAUCAUUCGGUGGUGUUGACCCAUAUGAUGGCAAUUCGCUCCGGCAAUUCCAGUUUUGUCAGUGGUGGUGCUGCUGCUCCUAUGAUGGUAGACUCGUCUGCCUUCCCUAGCCGCAUCCGUGGUGAUGUAGCUCGGCCUAGGCUACAACCCCCUCUGGUGAUUGAAGAGCUGAUGUUCUUCCACCAGUGGUAGGGGAGUGAUGCUGGAGCAGUACAUCGAUCAACAUAUCACCCUGCCAUUUGGGCAAGGAGAAGAUGGGAUGGCCCUAAUGCAGUGACAUCACCAUGUGGCAAAUCCAGUAGAUGGACACAACAUUGGUGCCUGGGUGAUGGGAUAAAGUACGUGUACUAGUGACAUGAUAUUUGUGCUUCUCAUUGAUUUUAUGUGUUAACAGCUAAAAUUUGUGCUUCUCGUCCAAUCUAUGUUGAUGUGCACUCGUGCACUUGUUGGGCUUUUUUGCUAUGCACUUGUUGGGUUUUGAUCCCUGUUGUGUAGAGGAGU